CUCGGUGACUGGGGCGGUGAUGUUCUACCCCUUACCAUUCCGAACAGGGUCGUAAAAGUCACCAGCGUUGAUGGUACUGUCGCCUUGUGCGGCGGGAGAGUAGAUCGUUGCCGAGA
rnacentral:rRNA from 1 species